rnacentral:lncRNA from 1 species
ACCUGCCGAAUGUCCCUAGGAGGUCAUAUACCAGUUAAACUGCCCCAUUUUGCCUCUUAGUGUACAUUGUGAGCCCACUCAACCAGUUCCUGAGAUACUACUGGGAAGCUGCUGAUCACCAGUUUCAGGUUUUUUCCAUCUGUUGGGAAACUGCCUAUCCCUUGUGCUCGCUGCAACCAAUUAUUAUUUUAGGGAGACAGUUAACCGCCUGACCAUCACCCGAUGAUCGCCUGAUGUUCAUGCAUCCAUGACUACAUAAACUUUUUGGCCGUUUGACCAAAUGGGGACAUCUGGCAUACUGCUAUCAACCAAUAUAAAACUACUGGAGGGUGGUUCCAAGAUGGCCAAAUAGGAACAGCUCCAGUCUACAGCUCCCAGCAUGAGUGAUGCAGAAGACGAAUGAUUUCUGCAUUUCCAACUCAGAGAGCUGACUUUAGAGGGAUCAAGAAUAGCUUGCUGGAUGGAAGGAGGUGUACCGUUCAAUGAGUCUUGGCCAGUGAAUACCAUCAUGUAACCACCAUCACGAUCAAGAUGGCAGGGUGCUUCCAUCCCCCCAGGAAGUUCUCUCCUGCCCCCUUGUAGCUAGUGUCCUCCUUCUACCCUCAGCCCAUGGCAACCACUAAUUUGUUAUCCUUCCCUAUAGUUCUUCCUUUUCCAAAAUAAAUCUUACGUAAAUAAAA